GGUCUUCUCAAGGAAAUCCCAAUCUCUAUUCCGAAGAGUCUUCCCUAAAAGAUGGCCCUGAUCAGGAAGACAUUUUAUUUUCUAUUUGCUAUGUUCUUCAUUUUGGUUCAACUGCCAUCAGGGUGCCAGGCAGGACUUGAUUUUUCCCAACCAUUUCCAUCAGGUGAGUUUGCUGUCUGUGAGUCGUGCAAGCUUGGUCGGGGAAAAUGCAGGAAGGAGUGCUUGGAGAAUGAGAAGCCCGAUGGAAAUUGCAGGCUGAACUUUCUCUGCUGCAGACAGAGGAUCUGACAAACCAGACCAGCACACUUCUGGCCUUAGAAGCAGACCUGG
rnacentral:lncRNA from 1 species